rnacentral:rRNA from 1 species
CAUGCAGUCGACGGUAGCACAGAGAGCUUGCUCUCGGGUGACGAGUGGCGGACGGGUGAGUAAUGUCUGGGAAACUGCCUGAUGGAGGGGGAUAACUACUGGAAACGGUAGCUAAUACCGCAUAACGUCGCAAGACCAAAGAGGGGGACCUUCGGGCCUCUUGCCAUCAGAUGUGCCCAGAUGGGAUUAGCUAGUAGGUUGGGUAACGGCUCACCUAGGCGACGAUCCCUAGCUGGUCUGAGAGGAUGACCAGCCACACUGGAACUGAGACACGGUCCAGACUCCUACGGGAGGCAGCAGUGGGGAAUAUUGCACAAUGGGCGCAAGCCUGAUGCAGCCAUGCCGCGUGUAUGAAGAAGGCCUACGGGUUGUAAAGUACUUUCAGCGGGGAGGAAGGUGUUGUGGUUAAUAACCGCAGCAAUUGACGUUACCCGCAGAAGAAGCACCGGCUAACUCCGUGCCAGCAGCCGCGGUAAUACGGAGGGUGCAAGCGUUAAUCGGAAUUACUGGGCGUAAAGCGCACGCAGGCGGUCUGUCAAGUCGGAUGUGAAAUCCCCGGGCUCAACCUGGGAACUGCAUUCGAAACUGGCAGGCUAGAGUCUUGUAGAGGGGGGUAGAAUUCCAGGUGUAGCGGUGAAAUGCGUAGAGAUCUGGAGGAAUACCGGUGGCGAAGGCGGCCCC